ensembl:lncRNA
GGAACAUCUAAAAAGAUUAUGUACUCACCAUAUUUAUGAGAUCCAGCGCCACCUGGUCCAUAGCCACCAGGUCCAUAGCCACCAGGUCCAGCCCCAUAACCUCCAGGACCAGCUCCGCCAGGACCAAGACCAGCCCCAGGCCCAUAACCUCCAGGCCCAGCACCAUAGCCACCAGGUCCUGCCUCUGCUCCACCUGGUCUGGCUCCACCUGGUCUGACCCCAGCUCCUCCCGGCCCUGCUCUACCUGGUCCAUAGCCACCAGGUUCAGCCCCAUAACCUCCAGGACCAAGACCAGCCCCAGGCCCAUAACCUCCAGGCCCUGCGCCAUAGCCACCAGGUCCGGCCUCUGCUCCACCUGGUCUGACCCCAGCUCCUCCCGGCCCUGCUCCACCUGGUCCAUAACCUUUAUGUCCGGCACCAUAUCCACCUUGCCCGGCCCCAGCCCCACCUAGUCCGACCCCAGUUCCUCCUGGUCCAUAACCAACUGUUCCGCCACCAUAACCACCAAGCCCAUCUCCAGCUCCAACAGCUCUCCCAUAGCCUGAAACAGAGGGGACAGUGAAUUCACAGACACUAGGAUACAUUUUUAUUUUCACACAUGAUUUAAAUGUGAUGUGACAUUAUUAAAAAUGUAUGUGACAAUGUUUCUGCCAUACUAUUAGGUGGUUUUCCAGUGCCAGUUCCUGUACCAGUUCCAGCACCUGUGGGGUAUCUGCUACCAACUCCACCUGGUAUAUAUCCACCUGGUCCAGCUCCACCUUGACCUCCACCUAGACCGCCUCCUUGACCUCCACCCACUCCUCCUGGUCCGGCUCCUAUGGCACCCAGGCUGCCAGCUCCACCCAGACCUCCACCAACACCACCGGCUCCAGCACCUCCAGUCUUGUAUGGCUUGGAUCCAUAUCCUCCAGGCCCAGCCCCUGUCCCGUAGCCACUUGGCCCAGCACCAUAGCCACCUUGACCAGCUCCAGCCCCAUAACCACCUGGACCAGCACCAUAACCACCGGGUCUGGCCCCAUAACCACCGGGUCCAGUGCCAUAUCCUCCAGGACUGGCUCCGUAUCCGCCUGGUCCGGCACCAUAUCCUCCAGGACGUCGUCCUCCUGCUCCAAAUUGGCCAGCACCAUAUCCUAAGUGGAGGAGAGAGAAAUGACAUGGAUGAGCCUGAAGCAG